GGGGGUGAUCGGUUUCGACAUUGGUCGGUUGUCCAGGGGAAGCGGGUCGAGGAUGCAAGGUCAUCUCGUCAACGCUCCUUGCAAACCAAUAGGUGCCAAUUCCAAGCGCACCGACUUCGCCCUCGCCGCCUGAGCGAGCCUCGAAGUCCGUCAGCCUGAGCUAGUUCCCGUCUCAGUGCCUGGCGUCAGCUAGGGAACUCGCUGCGCAGUCAUGCCGAGGGGCUGCGCGGGACUCCUACUCGGCUGGGCCUGUCAGCGGACGUGUGCGUGCGAGCGCUGGGGCCGAGAAAAUCCGUAGCGCACUGCACCCGGAGAAGCCCUGGUAAGUCGUCAGUGGACGCGGGUUCGAUUCCCGCCACCUCCACCA
rnacentral:tmRNA from 1 species